rnacentral:rRNA from 1 species
UACGAAGGGGGCUAGCGUUGCUCGGAAUCACUGGGCGUAAAGCGCACGUAGGCGGAUUGCUAAGUCAGGGGUGAAAUCCUGGAGCUCAACUCCAGAACUGCCCUUGAUACUGGCGGUCUCGAGUCCGGGAGAGGUGAGUGGAAUUCCUAGUGUAGAGGUGAAAUUCGUAGAUAUUAGGAAGAACACCAGUGGCGAAGGCGGCUCACUGGCCCGGUACUGACGCUGAGGCGCGAAAACGUGGGGAGCAAACAGG